GCUGAAGUUGUGAAGUUAGGUCAGGCAAUUGGAACUUUCAUUCUUUGGCCUAGACACCUUGUUGAUGAGGAGAUAAUACCUGUGAUGGACCAGGAAGAUGUUAAUAGAUAUCCCUGCUUGGCACAAUUAUAUGAGGAAUAUAAAACAAUUAACAAGGUCGACAUAAAGAUGCCUGUAGGGAUUGUGGGUGAAGAAAAAUCAUAUUUCUUUGGACUUGACAACAAAGACAUCAGGGAUUUCUUAUCCUUGAAGGAGUUGGACAUAGCAUGGGUUCAAUUAGCAAUCAUCUUCUUCCAUAACAAAUGCAUGUCAUCAAUGGAGA